rnacentral:lncRNA from 1 species
UGAGAGAAGGCGGGGUCGCGCCCAUAUAAGGCGAGGAGGGGGGCGGGGUUUAUGCUAAUGAGGGGGGUUUGAUUGAUGGGGAGGCCACGCCCAAAGCGGGGGGAGGGGCGGCCUUUUGGGACCCCCCAAAAAUUCCCGAAAAAUCCCAAAAAUUCCCAAAAUUGCCCCAAAUUCCCCCAAAUUCCGGCCCAGGGUUUAAUUUAGGGAUCCCAAAACCCCCAAAUAUCCCAAAAUUGCCCCAAAAUUCCAUCAAAUCCCCCCAAAAAUCCCCAAAAUUCCCAAAAAAUUCCCCAAAAUUCCCCUGAAAAAUUCCCAAAAAAACCCCAAAAAAGGCCCCAAAAAUUCCCAAAAUUCACCCAAAAAUUCCAAAAAAAUCCCCCAAAAAUUCCCCCCAAAAAUCCCAAAAAUUUUCAAAAAAUCCCCAAAAAAUCCCCCAAAAAAUCCCAAAAAAUUCCCAAAAAAAUCCCAAAGAUUCCCCUAAAAAAAUCCAAGAAUUCCCAAAAAAUUCCCCAAAAAUUCCCCAAAAAAAUCCCAAAAAAUUCCCCAAAAAUUCCCCAAAAAAUCCCCAAAAAUUCCCAAAAAAUUCACCAAAAAAUCCCCAAAAGUUUCCAAAAAAAUCCCCAAAAAAUCUUAAAAAUUUCCCCAAAAAUCCCCCAAAAAAUUCCCAAAAAAAUCCCAAAAAUUCCCCAAAAAAUCCCCAAAAAUCCCCAAAAAAAUCCCCAAAAAUUCCCCAAAAAUUCCCCAAAUUUUCCCAAAAUUCCCUCCCCGAAAUUCCCGGAUUUUUUUUCCCGCCAUUUUUUUCCAUCCUGGCCCCUCCCCCGCUCACCUGGGCUCCUCGGGGGGUCCCCGGCGCUGCCCCUCCCCCUCCUGCGGAACCAACCAAAAACCGGUCACGGGGGGGGGGGGGGNNNNNNNNNNNNNNNNNNNNCCUCCAGGUGAGGACGAUUAAAGGGGGGGAAGGGAAAAUUUUGAGGGGAAAUUUGGGGAAAUUUUUUGGAAUUUUGGGGGAUUUUUUGGGAAUUUUUUGGGGAAUUUUUGGGGAUUUUUGGGGAAUUUUGGGGGAAUUUUUUCGGAACAUUUGGGGAAUUUUUGGGAAUUUUUUGGGAAUUUUUUGGGAAUUUUGGGGGAUUUUUGGGGGAAUUUUUGGGAAUUUUUUGGGAGAAUUUUUGGAAUUUUGGGGGAAUUUUUUGCGGAAUUUUUGGGAAACUUUGGGGGAAUUUUUGGGAUUUUUUUUUGAAUUCUUGGGAAAUUUUUGGGGAUUUUUGGGAAUUUUUUGGAAUUUUUGGGGGAAUUUUUUGGGAAUUUUUCGGAGAAUUUUUGGGGAUAUUUGGGGGAAUUUUAAGGAUUUUUUUGGGAAUUUUGGGGAAUUUUUGGGGAUUUUUUGGGAAUUUUUUGGGGAAUUUUUGGGGAUUUUGGGGAAUUUUUUGGGGAAUUUUUGGGGAAUUCUUGGGAAUUAUUGGGGAUUUUUUGGGGGAUUUUUGGGAAUUUUUGGGGGAAUUUUGGGGGCAUUUUUGCUAAUUUUUUUGGAAUUUUUGGGGAAUUUUUGACAAAAUUUUUGGGGGAUUUCUGGGGAAUUUUGGGGAAUUUUUUGGAGAAUUUUUUGGGAUUUUUUGGGAAAUUUUGUGGAUUUUUUUGGGGAUUUUUUGGGAAAUUUUUGGGGAAUUUUGGGGGAAUUUUGGAAAAUUUUGGGGGGAAAUUUGGGGAUUUUUUUUGGAAUUUUUGGAAUUUUUGGGGGAUUUUUGGGGAAAUUUUCUGGGAAUUUUUAGAGAAUUUUUGGGGAAUUUUGGGAGGAAUUUUGGGGAUCUUGCGGGGAAAUUUUGGCAUUUUUGGGGCAUUUUUUGGGAAAUUUGGGGAAUUUUGGGAGUUCUUGGAAACUUCCGGAACUUUUGGGGAGAAUUUGAGGAAUUUUGGGGACAAAUUUUGGGAUUUUUUCAGGGAAAAAUCCCCCCCCCCGGGCCCCUCCUCGCC